rfam:Erinaceus europaeus unplaced genomic scaffold scaffold00097, whole genome shotgun sequence
CUCACCCAGGGCUCCCACAGCUCAGGGGGCAGGCCUGAGCCCUGCGCCCGCCCUGAAUCCAUCCGGCCCCCGACGGGGCACCCCAUCCCAAGGGGCUCCGCACUGGCCCCCACGGAGGUAGGGGACCCGACCGACUGGCACCUCGGCUGGAUGUUACAGGCGUAAAAA